rnacentral:rRNA from 1 species
UACGAAGGGGGCUAGCGUUGCUCGGAAUCACUGGGCGUAAAGGGUGCGUAGGCGGGUCUUUAAGUCAGGGGUGAAAUCCUGGAGCUCAACUCCAGAACUGCCUUUGAUACUGAAGAUCUUGAGUUCGGGAGAGGUGAGUGGAACUGCGAGUGUAGAGGUGAAAUUCGUAGAUAUUCGCAAGAACACCAGUGGCGAAGGCGCUCACUGGCCCGAGUACUGACGCUGAGGAGCGAA